GUUCCAGUAGCUUACAUCAACCAAAGCA
rnacentral:tRNA from 4 species